CUACGGGGCGCUCCAGUGGGGAAUAUUGCACAAUGGGGGAAACCCUGAUGCAGCCAUGCCGCGUGUGUGAAGAAGGCCUUCGGGUUGUAAAGCACUUUCAGUUGUGAGGAAAGGUUGUAGAUUAAUACUCUGCAGCUGUGACGUUAGCAACAGAAGAAGCACCGGCUAACUCCGUGCCAGCAGCCGCGGUAAUACGGAGGGUGCGAGCGUUAAUCGGAAUUACUGGGCGUAAAGCGCGUGUAGGUGGCUUGUUAAGCCAGAUGUGAAAGCCCCGGGCUCAACCUGGGAACUGCAUUUGGAACUGGCAGGCUAGAGUUUUGUAGAGGGUGGUAGAAUUUCAGGUGUAGCGGUGAAAUGCGUAGAGAUCUGAAGGAAUACCGGUGGCGAAGGCGACCACCUGGCCAAUAACUGACACUGAGACGCGAAGGCGUGGGUAGCAAACGGGAUUAGAUACCCUCGUAGUC
rnacentral:rRNA from 1 species